rnacentral:tRNA from 1 species
GCGCCCGUAGCUCAAUUGGAUAGAGUGUCUGGCUACGGACCAGAAGGUUGGAGGUUCAAGUCCUCUCGGGCGUGCCA